UACGUAGGGUGCAAGCGUUAAUCGGAAUUACUGGGCGUAAAGCGUGCGCAGGCGGUCCGCUAAGACAGAUGUGAAAUCCCCGGGCUUAACCUGGGAACUGCAUUUGUGACUGCAUCGCUGGAGUGCGGCAGAGGGGGAUGGAAUUCCGCGUGUAGCAGUGAAAUGCGUAGAUAUGCGGAGGAACACCGAUGGCGAAGGCAAUCCCCUGGGCCUGCACUGACGCUCAUGCACGAAAGCGUGGGGAGCAAACAGG
rnacentral:rRNA from 1 species